rnacentral:rRNA from 1 species
UAACACAUGCAAGUCGAGCGCACCUUCGGGUGAGCGGCGGACGGGUUAGUAACGCGUGGGAACAUACCCUUUUCUACGGAAUAGCCUCGGGAAACUGAGAGUAAUACCGUAUAAGCCCUUCGGGGGAAAGAUUUAUCGGGAAAGGAUUGGCCCGCGUUAGAUUAGAUAGUUGGUGGGGUAAUGGCCUACCAAGUCUACGAUCUAUAGCUGGUUUUAGAGGAUGAUCAGCAACACUGGGACUGAGACACGGCCCAGACUCCUACGGGAGGCAGCAGUGGGGAAUCUUAGACAAUGGGCGCAAGCCUGAUCUAGCCAUGCCGCGUGUGUGAUGAAGGUCUUAGGAUCGUAAAGCACUUUCGCCAGGGAUGAUAAUGACAGUACCUGGUAAAGAAACCCCGGCUAACUCCGUGCCAGCAGCCGCGGUAAUACGGGGGGGGUUAGCGUUGUUCGGAAUUACUGGGCGUAAAGCGUACGUAGGCGGAUUGGAAAGUUGGGGGUGAAAUCCCAGGGCUCAACCCUGGAACUGCCUCCAAAACUAUCAGUCUAGAGUUCGAGAGAGGUGAGUGGAAUUCCAAGUGUAGAGGUGAAAUUCGUAGAUAUUUGGAGGAACACCAGUGGCGAAGGCGGCUCACUGGCUCGAUACUGACGCUGAGGUACGAAAGUGUGGGGAGCAAACAGGAUUAGAUACCCUGGUAGUCCACACCGUAAACGAUGAAUGCCAGUCGUCGGGCAGUAUACUGUUCGGUGACACACCUAACGGAUUAAGCAUUCCGCCUGGGGAGUACGGUCGCAAGAUUAAAACUCAAAGGAAUUGACGGGGGCCCGCACAAGCGGUGGAGCAUGUGGUUUAAUCCGAAGCAACGCGCAGAACCUUACCAACCCUUGACAUCCUGUGCUAACCCGAGAGAUCGGGCGUUCACUUCGGUGACACAGUGACAGGUGCUGCGUGGCUGUCGUCAGCUCGUGUCGUGAGAUGUUCGGUUAAGUCCGGCAACGAGCGCAACCCACAUCCUUAGUUGCCAGCAGUUCGGCUGGGCACUCUAAGGAAACUGCCCGUGAUAAGCGGGAGGAAGGUGUGGAUGACGUCAAGUCCUCAUGGCCCUUACGGGUUGGGCUACACACGUGCUACAAUGGCAGUGACAAUGGGUUAAUCCCAAAAAGCUGUCUCAGUUCGGAUUGGGGUCUGCAACUCGACCCCAUGAAGUCGGAAUCGCUAGUAAUCGCGUAACAGCAUGACGCGGUGAAUACGUUCCCGGGCCUUGUACACACCGCCCGUCACACCAUGGGAGUUGGUUCUACCCGACGACGCUGCGCUAACCUUCGGGGGGCAGGCGGCCACGGUAGGAUCAGCGACUGGGGUG